AAGAAGGAAGGUGCUCAGAAAAAGGCUGCUGAACAAAAAACCAAAGGUUCUUUCUGUAAUGGAGAGAGACUGUCUUGUUGAUGGAGUGUUUUUCCUG